CACCCUGAAAUAUAUCAGUUCAAC
rnacentral:snRNA from 1 species